GACGAACGCUGGCGGCGUGCUUAACACAUGCAAGUCGAGCGAUGAAGCACCUUCGGGUGUGGAUUAGCGGCGAACGGGUGAGGAACACGUGAGGAAUCUGCCUUCCACUCUGGGAUAACUCCGGGAAACCGGGGCUAAUACCGGAUACUUUCAACUGGCGGCAUCGCCGGUUGAAGAAAGGUUUUCGGUGGAAGAUGACCUCGCGGCCUAUCAGCGUGUUGGUGAGGUAAUGGCUCACCAAGGCGACGACGGGUAGCCGGACCGAGAGGGCGACCGGCCACACUGGGACUGAGACACGGCCCAGACUCCUACGGGAGGCAGCAGUGGGAAUAUUGGGCAAUGGAGGAAACUCUGACCCAGCGACGCCGCGUGAGGGAUGAAGGCCUUCGGGUUGUAAACCUCUUUCAGCAGGGAAUAAGCGAAAGUGAAGGUACCUGCAGAAGAAGCACCGGCUAACUAUGUGCCAGCAGCCGCCGUAA
rnacentral:rRNA from 1 species